AGGCAGGAGACCUGUGAGCGCCUGCCACCUGCGGUUUCAGGAUGUUUACGAACGCUGCCCUGAAUCUGCUCAAGAUCCUGGCAGGAGGCCUGCUCUUUGUUGUGGUUGCCGUUUGGCAAGGGGCAAGCGCUGCUUCAAGAGCCAGGGCUAACCCUGACUUCCAACAUAACCAUGAAACAUAUCAGAAGCCACCUGGCCACAGGAGCCAUGCCAACUGACCCAGCAGGGGCCUAAGCAGAGCUAAGGGCCCGGCAAGCAUCUGUGGCUCACUACAGCGGAACAGAGUCCCCCAUCCAGGCUGCACACAGUGCCCACGCCACUUGCACCCGGACCGCACGCUUGUGCUCAGCCUGGUCAGUCCCUGCUGCCCUUUCCUGGAGAGAAGAUGGACAUGGGGGAGACCGUGACAGCGAGGCCCCAGUCCUGUGCCUCUGCGUGGCUGCUGCUCCUACACGCUGCCUUGUGCACCGCUGCCUUGUGCGCCGCUGCCUCUGCUUUCCUGCCCUUGAUCCCUGGGGACACAAAUGGCUAUGGCUAAUUGCCUUUCAGUCACUCAUUUAGCAAAUAAUACAUCUGUGAAUAUGAGGGAGCAUUCA